GAAGGAGUGGCUGAGCGGUCAAAAGCAAUAGACUGUAAAUCUAUCGGGUCUUACCCCUACGGAGGUUCAAAUCCUUCCUCCUUCA
rnacentral:tRNA from 1 species